GACGAAGGGGGCUAGCGUUGUUCGGAAUUACUGGGCGUAAAGCGAGUGUAGGCGGUUGUCUAAGUUGGAUGUGAAAGCCUUGAGCUCAACUCAAGAAAUGCAUUCAGGACUGGGCGGCUAGAGGACCGGAGAGGAUAGUGGAAUUCCGCGUGUAGUGGUGAAAUGCGUAGAGAUGCGGAAGAACACCAGUGGCGAAGGCGGUCAACUGGCCUGAUAUUGACACUCAGACGCGAAGGCAUGGGUAGCGAACGGG
rnacentral:rRNA from 1 species